UGGAUCCAGACUUUGAUUCUGGCUCAGGAUAAACGCUAGCGACAGGCUUAACACAUGCAAGUCGAGGGGCAGCGGGGAGAGUGUUCGCACUCUCCGCCGGCGACCGGCGCACGGGUGAGUAACACGUAUGGAACCUGCCCUUUCCAGGGGGAUAAUCGGCGGAAACGCCGUCUAAUACCGCGUAUAUGUUCGGGAGGCAUCUCCGGGACAGGAAAGGUCUUCGGGCCGGGAAAGGAUGGCCAUGCGGCGCAUUAGGAAGUUGGCGGUGUGACGGACCACCAAUCCGACGAUGCGUAGGGGUUCUGAGAGGAAGGUCCCCCACACUGGUACUGAGACACGGACCAGACUCCUACGGGAGGCAGCAGUGAGGAAUAUUGGUCAAUGGGCGGGAGCCUGAACCUGCCAAGUCGCGUGAGGGAAGACGGUACUGAGUAUUGUAAACCUCUUUUGUCAGGGAGCAAAGGCGGCCACGCGUGGCCGAUUGAGCGUACCUGAAGAAAAAGCAUCGGCUAACUCCGUGCCAGCAGCCGCGGUAAUACGGAGGAUGCGAGCGUUAUCCGGAUUUAUUGGGUUUAAAGGGUGCGCAGGCGGACCGUCAAGUCAGCGGUAAAAUGUCGGGGCUCAACCCCGGCCGGCCGUUGAAACUGGCGGACUUGAGUUGGAGAGAAGUAUGCGGAAUUCGUGGUGUAGCGGUGAAAUGCAUAGAUAUCACGAAGAACUCCGAUUGCGAAGGCAGCAUACCGGCUCCACACUGACGCUGAGGCACGAAGGCGUGGGUAUCGAACAGGCUUAGAUACCCUGGUAGUCCACGCAGUAAACGAUGAAUGCUAGAUGUCCGGUCCGGAUGAGGACUGGGUGUCACAGCGAAAGCGUUAAGCAUUCCACCUGGGGAGUACGCCGGCAACGGUGCAACUCAAAGGAAUUGACGGA
rnacentral:rRNA from 1 species